ANAGCCGAGNACACAGCGGGAGCGGCUGCUAAUACCGGAUGUGCCUAAAGGUCCAAGGUUUGCUGCCUGAAGAUGAGCUCGCGUCUGAUUAGCUAGUAGGUGUGGUAAGAGCGCACCUAGGCGACGAUCAGUAGCUGGUCUGAGAGGACGAUCAGCCACACUGGGACUGAGACACGGCCCAGACUCCUACGGGAGGCAGCAGUGGGGAAUUUUCCGCAAUGGGCGAAAGCCUGACGGAGCAAUACCGCGUGAGGGAGGAAGGCUCUUGGGUUGUAAACCUCUUUUCUCAGGGAAGAAUACAAUGACGGUACCUGAGGAAUAAGCAUCGGCUAACUCCGUGCCAGCAGCCGCGGUAAUACGGAGGAUGCAAGCGUUAUCCGGAAUGAUUGGGCGUAAAGCGUCCGCAGGUGGCAAUGAAAGUCUGCUGUUAAAGAGUGAGGCUUAACCUCAUAAAAGCGGUGGAAACUACAUAGCUAGAGUACGUUCGGGGCAGAGGGAAUUCCUGGUGUAGCGGUGAAAUGCGUAGAGAUCAGGAAGAACACCGGUGGCGAAAGCGCUCUGCUAGGCCUGUACUGACACUGAGGGACGAAAGCUAGGGGAGCGAAUGGGAUUAGAUACCCCCCCCNUCCACAUAAAGAAAGGGUGAGGUAAACGCGAAAA
rnacentral:rRNA from 1 species